rnacentral:snRNA from 1 species
GUGCUCCCUCUGGCAGGACAGAUGCUGAAACUGGACCCAUGCAGAGGAGGUCAGCUUGGCCACUGCCUGGGGAUGAUAUACAAUCUGUGAAGUGUUCCAUAUGUU